GUCGUCUUGUAAUAAAGGAAAAAUAUUUAUAUUCUAAUGACAUUUAUCGUAUGCCAUUGGGUGCGUUCACCAGACCAGUGCGCUAUGCCAACGCUUUGAAACUGUUUAAGAUUUUUCAGGUGAACGUCAUGUCAAUUUAGGCUAAACUUCAAUGUGAUGAUGAAGCGGUCGCCAUUUUAUUCAACGUAGUAUUUGCAUCGCUUCAAUAUUGAACGUGUUUAGGAAAUAUUUUGUAAUGGCGCGCUGAUUUGAAAAUAUUUACUUUUACAAUGGUUUUAAUUAUAAAGUAAUUGAAACUUAGGAGAUACAUAAUUGUAUACGCUCACAAAAUUGUAAAUCUGUGUAUUGAGGAACAAUAUUUUCAACAUAAUUCAUAUUUCUCGUGACAAUUAUUAUUUAUUUAUGGAGGGAAUACUUCAUCAUCAUCCAAUGGUUCUGCUAAGUCCAGCACAACCAGCAGCACUAAAAAUUAUUUCUUGUUCAUGUCAUUAUCAAACAACAAGUUUUGUUGUUUGGUUUAUCCUUGUUUUCCUUGAGUUAUCGUCCAUCUUUGAAAUUUUGAGCGCCCUCUGUCGGAAUUUAAUUUUGCGAAUAGACCAGAGGUUCCCAACCAGUGUGCCGCGGCGCCCUGAAGUCCCUGUAGGUGUGCCGCGAAAUUUGAUUUUAUUCACUCUCAUUUAUAGAGAUUAUUUAUCAAAGUGAGCCGUGGCUGAACCAGUUUUUAAGUUAGUGUGCCUCAAGCUAAAAAAGGUUGGAAACCGCUGUUAUAGGCAAUCCACCUAUGUUUUGAGGUGGCGUACAUAAUACAAUUAUUCCAUCAAACGUAAAAAUAGCAUGAUGACAAUAACAAUGUAAAUUCAAGACAUAUAAAAAAGGGCUUAACAAAAUUAGAGCAGAGCUGAUAGACAAAACUGAGCAUCGGAAUCUGAAGCUAGCGGGUUUAAUGUAAGUUCCAAUAAAUAAUUUUAGACAAUAGAUUGUAUGUUAGUUGAGUGAUUACUGAAUAAAUAGUUAUAUAAAAUGGUA
rnacentral:lncRNA from 1 species